rnacentral:lncRNA from 1 species
GUGAUAAUGAAGGUGUCGAGACACUUUAAGAAAAUAAGAGUUCAUGUGCGUUCUGCUCUCUCUGAAAUUGCGAUGGUUUAGUUUCCGCUUGUCCCGUCUUAUCUGUUUAGGGUCACUAAUCACUCCAGCAUCCCUUCCACAACUAUUACUAUUGGGUUCAUACUCUCCUUAUAUUAUUAUGGGUUCUAAUUUCACAGAGUUUAGUAUAGAUUUAGCACAUUCCAGGUUUUCAUUUUCUUUCAAUCAGGUAUCUCCAGGCUGAUGGUACUGUGACUGCAGUGCUGUCAUUGAGUGUUCUUUUUUUAUUAUUCUCUUUCAAAAUUUCUAGAGCCUCUGUCAAAAUGGUCUGUGAUUUCUUUACCGGCGGUUUUAUUAUUCUGGCUCUGUC